rnacentral:rRNA from 1 species
UACAGAGGUGCGAGCGUUAUCGGAAUCACUGGGCGUAAAGGCGCGUAGGCGGCCUGAUAAGAUACGGGGGUGAAAUCUUGCGGCUUGAACCGCAAGGCUGGCCUUCUAAACUGUCGGGCUCGAGCACAGUAGAGGCAGGUGGAAUUCCCGGUGUAGCGGUGGAAUGCGUAGAGAUCGGGAAGAACAUCAGUGGCGAAGGCGCCUGCUGGG